GAUGAACGCUGGCGGCGUGCCUAAUACAUGCAAGUCGAGCGAACGGACGAGAAGCUUGCUUCUCUGAUGUUAGCGGCGGACGGGUGAGUAACACGUGGAUAACCUACCUAUAAGACUGGGAUAACUUCGGGAAACCGUAGCUAAUACCGGAUAAUAUUUUGAACCGCAUGGUUCAAAAGUGAAAGACGGUCUUGCUGUCACUUAUAGAUGGAUCCGCGCUGCAUUAGCUAGUUGGUAAGGUAACGGCUUACCGAGGCAACGAUGCAUAGCCGACCUGAGAGGGUGAUCGGCCACACUGGAACUGAGACACGGUCCAGACUCCUACGGGAGGCAGCAGUAGGGAAUCUUCCGCAAUGGGCGAAAGCCUGACGGAGCAACGCCGCGUGAGUGAUGAAGGUCUUCGGAUCGUAAAACUCUGUUAUUAGGGAAGAACAUAUGUGUAAGUAACUGUGCACAUCUUGACGGUACCUAAUCAGAAAGCCACGGCUAACUACGUG
rnacentral:rRNA from 1 species